rnacentral:lncRNA from 1 species
GUAGCCUAGACAUUGCAUUUUGUAAGUGAAAAACUGGUUUAUACCUUCUAACAUUCUGUACCUGGAGAACUGGUUAUUCUAAUUUGUUGUCAUUCUGCUCUGUGUAACCACCCAAUCCCCUACACACAGGAUGCCUGGGUUGGACAAAUUCCAAAAGUUGUACUGAAAAUAGAAGAUUUUAAUGAUGCCUCAAUCCCAAAUCAAAGGCAGAAUUACAGUCCCAUGUAUGCUCAGCCUCUAAGGGCAGCAGAUCCAGCAUCAGAUUAUUUCCCUCAGUCCCGAGCCCGGGGGGAUGAGUUUGACUAUCCCAGGGAGGGUUUGCCUUACCCAGUUUAUCCAGAGGCGAGACAGUACCAGAGAUACUAAGAACAAGUACUUCCUAUAUCAGAAAUGUCUUGGAAUGCUGCAUGAUCACUGAACAAUCCAGGUGCUGAGAGAGCAGUGAGAGCCUGGUGGGACACAGAGGAAAUUGCCAUCCUCAUUGGAAAGCACUAAGUUAUUGCAAAGAGAAGGCACAGAGGCUAAUUGUGAAAGAAAAGCUGGUGAUACUGAUACAGCUGGUGUGCUGAUACUGCAGCACACAAGGGUCUGGCCCUGGCAGUGUGGUACAAACACAGCCAAGGACUUGGCCUCUCUCUGUCCCAAGAUUUACCAAAUACCUACAGACCCAUUCCUUUGCCCCCUGUCUUUUUUAUUUUGUCUUCCAUCUGUGUUGAUCCCAACAGCUGGAAUGGUUUGCCUUUAAAACUGUUAAAACUGCCCUGGCUUGCUUUGUAACUUUUUUGUAAAUAAGGAAAAUAAAUGAAGCUAUUGAAGAUUGAGCA